ensembl:snRNA U6 U6 spliceosomal RNA
UGGCUUGCUUAGCAGCCCAUAUGCUAAAAUUGGAAUGAUACAGAGAAGAUUACCAUGGCCUCUGUGCAAGGAUGACACACAAAUUCAUGAAGUCCCAUAUUUUU